rnacentral:rRNA from 1 species
GAUGAACGCUGGCGGCGUGCUUAACACAUGCAAGUCGAACGGAAAGGCUCCUGCUUGCAGGGGUACUCGAGUGGCGAACGGGUGAGUAACACGUGGGUGAUCUGCCCUGCACUUCGGGAUAAGCCUGGGAAACUGGGUCUAAUACCGGAUAGGACGAUGGUUUGGAUGCCAUUGUGGAAAGUUUUUUCGGUGUGGGAUGAGCUCGCGGCCUACCAGCUUGUUGGUGGGGUAAUGGCCUACCAAGGCGUCGACGGGUAGCCGGCCUGAGAGGGUGUACGGCCACAUUGGGACUGAGAUACGGCCCAGACUCCUACGGGAGGCAGCAGUGGGGAAUAUUGUACAAUGGGCGCAAGCCUGAUGCAGCGACGCCGCGUGGGGGAUGACGGCCUUCGGGUUGUAAACUCCUUUCGCUAGGGACGAAGCGCAAGUGACGGUACCUGGAGAAGAAGCACCGGCUAACUACGUG